ACAGUGUCUUGUCGCUUUGAUG
rnacentral:siRNA from 1 species